AUUGAACGCUGGCGGAAUGCUUUACACAUGCAAGUCGAGCGGCAGCGCGGGGGCAACCCUGGCGGCGAGCGGCGAACGGGUGAGUAAUACAUCGGAACGUGUCCUGGAGUGGGGGAUAGCUCGGCGAAAGCCGGAUUAAUACCGCAUAAGCUCUGAGGAGGAAAGCGGGGGACCGUAACGGCCUCGCGCUGUUGGAGCGGCCGAUGUCGGAUUAGCUAGUUGGUGGGGUAAAGGCCCACCAAGGCGACGAUCCGUAGCUGGUCUGAGAGGAUGAUCAGCCACACUGGAACUGAGACACGGUCCAGACUCCUACGGGAGGCAGCAGUGGGGAAUUUUGGACAAUGGGGGCAACCCCGAUCCAGCCAUUCCGCGUGAGUGAAGAAGGCCUGGUU
rnacentral:rRNA from 1 species